GGAGCGUCUCUGCCCGGCCGCCCAUCGUCUGAGAUGUGGGGAGAGCCUCUGCCCCGCCGCCCCGCCUGGGAUGUGAGGAGCGCCUCUACCCGGCCGCGACCCCGUCUGGGAGGUGAGGAGCGUCUCUGCCCGGCCGCCCCGUCUGAGAAGUGAGGAGACCCUCCGCCUCGCAGCCGCCCCGUCUGAAAAGGUGGCUGUCAAUAGAUUGGCCCAAAAGGAAGAACAAGGAAAAGGGCACCAAAGAAGAUAAAUGAAAAUACAAGGGUAUAAGCUGAACUGUGGACAUCCUGCCACUGGGAAUUAAGUUAAAGUAGAAAAAAGCAGAAUGUAAUGGGGAGUCCCCUCACAAGAAGAAUUUGGAUCAAAGCAUGGCAGUGAGGGGAAGCAUUGAGCAGGAAACCAUGAGACCAAAAUUUAAAAGCCAGAGCUUCCUGACUCCAAAAUCCUCUUUCUUUCCUGUUAUCCUGCUGAAGUGCCGAUUUCAAAUGAAGACUGACUUGAUCCUGAACAUAACCUACAAGAAGAAAGGGACCACAGGCUAUACACAAAGCAUGGUGCCGGCAUCUGCUUCUGGUGAGGGCCUCAGGAAGCUUACAAUCAUCUUGGAAGGUGAAGAGGAAGCCAGCGCAUCACAUGGCAAGAGAGGGAGCAAGAGAGAAGGGGACAGUGCCGCACACUUUAAAAAAAAACCUUAUCUCACGAGGCAGAACUAACUGAGUGAGAGUUCACUCAUCACCAAGGGAAUGGUGCUGAGUCAUUCAUGAGGGA
rnacentral:lncRNA from 1 species